AGUCAUUUAUAUUUACCGUGGAAGUGAUCCAACGAUCAUCUAUGAGCAAGAACUAGACGAUGACGUAAUUCAUAUUAUCACGAAGCCUGAAUUUUGUGACAUGUGGGUAUUUAAUUUAUUGUCAAGAGGAUGGGCGUACAUCGACAAUGAAUAUAAAUUACCAGGUCCAGAGCAUAAUGUGAUUGGUGUAAUCUUCGAAGGGAACUUGUUAACCGUUUGCACUAGAGCAUAUGUGCCAGUACCUGAUUCUGAACAUUGUGAUAAACUUACAGACAUAUAUUUGCAAUAUUCUCAAUGAACAUGCGAUUAAGCAGCCUCUUCAAGGAGAGGUACCCAACUAUGCUUUUCCAUGUAAUAUAAUUCGUGAUGGAGGAUAUUAUUAUUUGGUAGGAGAUAUUGAUGAUAAAAAUAAUCGCGUUGGCAACGUCUACAGGAUAAAUAUGAAGAGUGGAAUUUGGGAAUGUGUUUAUAAAUGUCAACGUAAAGAUAAAGAAAAUAAACUUUGGAAAAAUGUUCCUUAUUAUCUAGUUUUUCAUGGAAAAACGAUUUUUACUUUUUUUAUCUUGAAGAUGAUGAUGAGCAUGACGAUAAGUUCACUCCAUAUUCUUUUUUGAAACUUGCAGCAUUUGAUGUAGAAAAUCCUCGAUGGAGAAUGAUCAAUACUCAUGGAGAUGUUGAUCAUGUACCGAAUUACCCAAUGAAUAGAGACGAAUUUAGCGGAUCGUCUCUUCGAAUUACGCACUACCGAGACUCUAACAGUGAUGUUAUAGUUAUUUUAUCAGGAGAAAUUGAUAGUAAAGAUUAUUACAAUGAUUUGUGGACAUUAAACCUCAGUACUAUGACAUGGAAGAACAUUGACAAUCGUGGAAGUUUAAUACCACGAACGUUUCGAAGAUACUCAAUGACUGUGUCCCCUGCUGGUCAAUUAUUCACAUUCGGUGAAUUCAUCGGUGACCCGAAAGCUAGAGUUCCCUGUGGCUCUCGUGUUCACUCAGUUUGGAUUACUAUUCCAAAACUCAUAGACAUUUGUUGGGAGUCUGUUCUUCACUAUUUGCCGGGCUUAGUUUCAAUGUCUCAAGAACAAAUUGAAAAUCUCGGUAUUUCAUGGAAAUUUUUCCAAUCGAGAAUUAACUAAUAAUUGAGUAUUUUUUUUGCGUUGCCUUUUUUCAAUU